rnacentral:lncRNA from 1 species
CUGGGCCUCCCAUGACAACACUCAGACAGGAAGGCUCUAAGACCAUGAUGAAGCCUGUCCCUGGCUCUGCAUCUGCCCACCUCUGCCAUCCCUGCUGCUGACUCUGCUGCUGGAAUUCCCCACUUUGUUUCUGGGCUUCAAGGUGCUGCUGGUGAUGAGCUUCAUAGUCACCUACAUCUGCAGGCGACAGAACCUGUAACAGAGCUGCAUGGAGAAUGGACUUUGAUCUGUGGGACCCAGAGAUGUCUGAAUCCUGAUGGACUGAGCUUCAAACUGGCCCUACCUCUGUCUUAAAGGAGAAUCAAGUGUGGCAGGUGAGUUGGAGCUGCAAGUGAUCCAGCCUGAGAAGUCAAUAUCUGUUGCAGCUGGACAGACUGCCACUCUGCGCUGCACCCUGACCUCCAUGAUCCCCGCUGGGAUGGUUAAGUGGUUCAAGGGGACAGGGCCAUGCUGGGAGUUAAUCUUCUCCUUCCAUUGGGACCACUUCCCCUGAGUAACAAAAGUUUCAGAUGCCACAAAGAGAAACAACAUGGACUUAACCAUAAGCAUCAGUAAUAUCACCCCAACAGACACAGGAUCCUACUAUUGCGUGAAGUUCCAGAAAGGAAACUCCAUGUAGAGUUCAAGUCUGGACCAGGCACCUAGGCCACCAUGAGUAUGACUAUGGCAUGACAUCCUUCUUCCCCUGGUUAUGACAAGUCAAUAAGAAUGCCCUCCAUUGUCUAAGCAACAGCUAAGAAUCAGGUGUUGUAGUGGGUGCCCCUGAUUUCAGCCCCUUCCACAUAUCAGAGAAUUUGAAGCCUAGAGAUGUUAUGCUAUUUGCUCAAGGUGCCCCACUGGGAAAACAGUGGGAAACUCUAGAAUCCCCAGUCUGAGGGCUCCGCAGCUCUUGCCUUUUCCAAUCCUGACCAGCCCUCUGGUUCCAGGGAUGAGGGAAUGAAAGUCUGAGUGACUUACCCAGUCACAAGAUCUGACCUCAACCCUGACUCCAGAGAGCACUCCCCUCAAUGUAUUACUGUUCUCUUUACUCAGCACUUAUUGAGCACCUGCUGUAUACAGGCUCUGCUCUGGGUGCUGGGGAAGCAGCAGGGAACAAAACAGGCAGAGCUUCUCUCUCAUGAAGCUUAAGUUCCCUUCCCUUCCAGUGAGAAUAAAUGCCCCCUUGGCAGAGAGGUGGGUCAAUGUCUUUCUUUCAGCUUCAGAAAAAUCACAGUGAGAAGAAGCACAGGCUCACUGUUUAUUCUGGCAUCUCACGUUGGAAAUGAUGACGGUGAGUCUGAAAGAAAAGCUUCAUGUAAUUUGGGGACUGACUCACAAAAUAGUGACCGAAUCUCCCCAUAACUCCUGGACAUAGGCAGAGAAGGUAGCUGUAUCCUGAUGGUACAAGUAUUACAGAACUUUUUAGUAGCACAUUCCCUGGGGAUGACUGGGGGCAUUUCCUGGAGGGUGUUUUGAGUCCCUUGAGCAAAAGUUCAUAUUCUAGACUCAGCUGUUGGGACCCCACAUUUUCUCUCUGUUGCUGAGGUGUCAGCAGGUCUUGGCACCCAGAAGGACCCCUCCCCAUAAUUGUUUGCAGUGCAGAAACUCAGAGGGAAAAGGAGGAUGGUGUCACUGUCGGGCUGGAGAAGGUGGGACACUUGCUCAGUUGUGGACAACAAGACUGGAGGCCACAGGAAGUCCCUAGGGAUGCAGUAAGGGAUCGGAGUAACCUCUUUGUACCUGGAUGAAAAUAGUUUGGUUCCUUGGUGAGGUAUAGAGAGAGACUAUCCAGGGCAGUUCUCUCACAAAGUUGUCUUCAUUUUUACAGAUAAGGAGAUCAUAGGGAAAAAUUUCCAGAGCCAAGCUCUGCAAAGGGGCUAGCAGCUCCAUUUACUAGGGCUUGAGAAGAAUAUUCACAGGGGGAUUCAACAUUAUAAUGAGGUUGAUCUAACAGUCAGCCACUAUCUGAUUCAUCUGCUCUUUUCAUCUGCAUUUCCAUAUUAAAUUCCAAACAACUGUUUGCAUUGCCUCACUUGCCCCUCACUGCAACCCUGGGAAAAAGAGAAAUGCCUGCUGUUCCAUUUCACAGAGGAGGGCCACACUGUGCCAUGGUCCCAUCUGGUUCUGGCUUCCAUGGGGUCCUGCUCCACCCCUGCUUCCCCU